UACAGAGGGGGCGAGCGUUAUUCGGAAUUAUUGGGCGUAAAGGGCGCGUAGGCGGCCUUUCAAGUGACGGGUGAAAUCCCUCGGCUUAACCGAGGAACUGCCUGUCAGACUGGAAGGCUUGAGACCGGGAGAGGUGAGUGGAAUUCCCAGUGUAGCGGUGAAAUGCGUAGAUAUUGGGAGGAACACCAGUGGCGAAGGCGGCUCACUGGACCGAUACUGACGCUGAGGAGCGAAAGCGUGGGGAGCGAACAGG
rnacentral:rRNA from 1 species